CAAGGUUAUCGUAGGUGAACCUGCGGUAGGAUCAUUA
rnacentral:rRNA from 1 species